AAUUGUUAGAAAGUGUGGAACCACGUGGAUCAAGAGGUUUAAUAAAACAAGAGCAGUGAACUAAAUCCAGAAAUAAUUCAGAAGCUCCGCUAUCCUUUCUCAACUGUCGAUUAAGUAGCUCUACCGCGAAAGCACUUAAACUUGCCCCCAAUUCAUGAAAGAGCCUCCGGCCAAAGGUGUUGUUCACAAAGGUUUGCAAUGGCAACAACAACAAAAAAUGGAAAACUAUAAAAUCAAAAAACGCGAGAGAACGAAAAGUCACUGAUAACGGUAAACUUUGAGAAUUUGUAUAGUGGCCAGAGGACAACAGUUUCCGUCUGAGGGAAAUUUUUAUGGACAAUUUAAAUGCAAAUUUCUGGCUUUUUAUGCCUUGUGAUUAUGACGCUUGCUGCCGCCGAUAGUGUUGCAAUUUCGUGCAAUUUCUUCGUGUUAUUUGUUUUUAUUUUUAUAAUGCGUUAGAAAUGAAAAGGCGAACAUGGGCGCAGAAACAGGAAAUUAA